UAGUGCUGGCGAUAAGAUGGGAAUUUGUUAAAGAGAUAUUAUAUUUUUUUUGGUUAAAAGUGAUUUUUGUUAAAGAAAAAAAAACGAGGUAGAAAUAAAAAACAAAGAGUUUUGAAUAAAAAAAUUUUAUUAAAAAAAAAAAGAUUUGAAAAAUUUCAAAAUUAAAUAGAAAAGUGGAAAAAUUGUAUAUUUAACCUUUAACUGGUGUUUUGGGUUAAAGCAAAUUCAAAUUCAUUUAUCUAUACUAGAAUUGUGUUGAAAUUGAAAAUUUUCAAGAAAAAAAUCGUGACGGUGAUGAGAUAGAGGCGAAAAUUUAAAAAAAAUACAAAGAUACAGAAAUACAGAUAAUUAAAGCGAAUAAACCCUAAAAGCGAUUUUGAAACGCAAUUUACCAUAAGAAAUCCUUUGUUGUUUUUUUUUUCUUUCUUGUGCAUAUAUAUCUACUAUUUUGUUGUUGUUUUUAUUUGUUUAAGCGAAAAGAAAAUAAAAAUUAUUUAGAACAAUUGUUGUUGUUUUCUCAAUAAUAAUAAAAUAAAAAUAUAAGAAAAAAAAGAAAAUUUCAAUUCAAUUGUUCAAUAAGACUUUGCCGAAAGGGGUAGUGAAAGAGUAAAAUUUUUACAUAAAUAACAAAGUCAUUGUGGAUGCAAUGGCCAGUAGUGAAUCAAAUACCUUUGAAGAAGAAUCAAUCCCUGAGACGAUAACGACUACGACUACAGCAAAUAUGCCUAUAGAAUCAACACCAACACAAAUUCACAACGAAUUAGAAAUGGAAACGGAAAAGGUAGAGAAUUUAAACCAAGCUGCAGCCACAACAAGAUCAGCCUCUUAUAGGGGUGUACGUUUAUCGGAAUCCGACUUAAAUGAUGAACAAGAAAACGAUCAAGAUUCCUGGUGGUCUGAAGUGGAAAAUAAUGAUCUGUUAUUGGAUCAAGUGCCCAAUGUUACUUCGGUUUUUACCCCUUCACCGGAAGCUAUACUGGAGAAAAGCAUUUCAUUGGCCGAAAGUGAAAGUCUUCUGAAGGGAGAGGAAAAUUUUGAACGUUUGCAUAGAAUAGCGGAUAAAAUUAAAAUGACAUUGAGUGAACAUGCCAAAAAUAAAGAAAUAGAAGAAAAAGCCGAAAGAGAACGUAAAUUAAGUGAAACUAGUGAUAAAGAACAUAAAACCGGUUCUUUUGAAGAGGCUGGUAAAGAACAAACUUUAGAAGAAUUCAAAGAAGAAUUGCGCACUAAACGUUUGCUAAGACAAAACGCAGUACAAGAUUUGCGUGAUGAAAUUGCCUCACUACGACGUCAAUUGGAUUUAGAGCGUGAGGUCAAUAAACGUCUGCGACGUGGUGAACAUAUAGAAGAAAGUUCUCUAAACACUAACACUGAUUCUGUGGACUUAGCUGGUGCCUGUGCUGCCACUUCUAGUCUCUCUGAUGAUGAAGAUCCUUUAAGUCGCAGCCGUCAUGCCAAUAUAGAAUUGGCUAAUGCUCAACUAGCCUUACAAAUGGCCAAUUCGGAGAAUAUUUCUUUGCGUGGUGAAUUGGCAGUGGUGCAGAAACAAGUCAUUACUUUGAAAGAGGUUAUUGCUUGUUGCAAACAAAUGUUGGCCGUUAAGGAGGAGCAAUGCAAUGAGAUUUUUCAUGAAGGAUAUAUGAAUCGAGCUGAAAAUGGGACUGCGAGAUGCGAUUUUUUAUAAUGUGGACCAUACAGUUGAAGCAAAGAGUCGACUUUUUCUAAUUCUUGCUAUAAUGUAUAUGAAAAGCCUACUUUCCGACUUUCAACAAUUAAGGAUUUACAUAUCUAUAUCCACCAUAGAUAAUUUUGUUAUUUAUUACCACAAUUUACUAAUUCCGUAGAUUUAUUCAAAAUUUUAGUAAAUAACUUAACUAAGAUAUUUAAACCUAAACAAAAAAUUUCCGUUGGCUUUCUGACAAUAUACAAACAAAAUUUUCCAUAGGUAUAAAAUAAUUCGUCAUAAAUGUAAUAUUUUUCGAUAAAGGAAACUCGAAAAAGUCGAUAUCGUAUGGAGAGAUAACAAAAAUAAAAUUUCCAAAAUAAAAUAUUUUGUCUAUGAAUUUCUCACUUUAUUCGAUGGCACAUUUUGAAGGCAUAACUACACAAACAAAUUAAAAUACACAGCCACAGGAAACAAAUUGUAACGGUGAGGAAGGAAACGAAACAAGUGAAAAUUCGUAGAACGUUGUAAAUCGUUGACGUAAAUUGUGAAAUGGAAUCAACGUAAAUUUGAUUACACGAAAAUCGAAUGUUGAAAUAUUGUACUAUUGCAAAAUAUUUGUAAAUCUAACAAGCUAUCUAAUUUUAUAACUAUUUUUAUUAUAUAUAUAACUUUUUACUAUUGUAAAGAAUUUUUGUUAACAUUUUUAAUUAUUAAUAAAUAAAAUAAGAAAAGUAU